rnacentral:lncRNA from 1 species
CUUGUUCCAGCAUUUCACUGCCAAGUGCCAGAAGAAUGAGAAAUAUGCUACUUCCAGAUUGAACAUCUUUUUCAAUCCUAGUAAAAUAUGACAAAGUACAGAGAAGCCAAAAAAUAUUUGGACCAUCAAGCUCAUCAGAAAUGCUGCUUAUUGGCUGGGUGUGGUGGCUCACGCCUGUAAUCCCAGCAUUUGGGAGGCCAAGACUAACACCACAUCUACAGACACUGACCCUAGAUCACACCUCCAGGAGACAGGAGACAACAUCUUAACACUUUUCACCAUGCAUCCUCCUCUUGAAUCAGAGUGGACUAUUUGUAACUUUCGCCAGGACUUCUGACACUAUGGCAUAGUCCCUGCAAAAAAAGAAAUUGUCUGGAGAUAUAAUAAUUUGUGAUGUGAUCUCAGCGUAUAUCAUAUAUAUAUAUGCAUACUUGUAUUCAUUCUUUUAAUUCAUUUAUUAAAUAAAAUGUGUUGAGCAUUUGUUACAAGCCUGACUCACCACCAUAAGAUUGAAAACAUGAAAAUAUAAGAGUAUUCAAAUUUUCCUUUCCAUUUCCUUAUCAGAAAUAUUCAUUUAGUCUGCAACAAUUCUUAGAACAAAAUAACAACUUCAGGCCAACUGCCAAAUACUUACCACUACCACUAUCAAAACUCUUUCUGGAAGUAGAUGCAAC